AGGCGGCCUCCAGGCCUUGCGAAGGGGCUUUGUUCCCGAAGCGGAGGGCCUGGCUUACCGAGCAGCGCAUCCGGAGGCGGGCGGGGGGCGCGCGGGGCACGCAGCAGAACCACAGCCUGGCCCGGACCCGGGGCGCCUGAGCCGGAGAAAGGCGAGGAGGAGGAAGAGAAAUAGGCUGCCGCCAGCUCCUGCCUCAUUCUCCCGGGCAGCGCCGACCCGCUGGCUGCCGCCGGCUGGGGCUGGCCGCCGGGCGCCGAACCCCGUACGCGCGGCUCAUGUCCCCGUCCGCCGCUGGAGAAGUGUACGCGCAGCCGGCUCGUCUCCGGGCGGCGCCCCGGGGCUCCUCAUGCCCCGAGCCCGGGCUCGGCGGGAGGACCUCGGGGAGGCAGCGCGGAGGGAAAGAGAGAAAGAGAGAGCUGUUUUGCAGUUUUCCAAGCCUUUGGCACCCCAUAUUUCACUGGCCCUUGUCACAUACAUGAGAGUUUGGUCGGGAUGAUUCCUCAGCCUCAAAGCUGAUAGCUGGCAGACCCCACGACUUGAACCUGGGGCUUCCUCCUGGGUCGUCUCGUCCUGAUAAGUCUGGAUAAUUUUGUAUGGCUCUUUAUGGUUUGCCAAGGACGUCCGCCUCCCUGAGUCCACUUCUCCUGACUGUGUCAGCAUCUCCAGCUUCAAAGAAAGAAAAUGCCAGGCCAGGAAGGGGCAACACCUACCCGGCAGAGCCUCUGGUCUGCAGGGGGCCUGGAGGGUGGCUCAUGGGGCUCAUCCAGACAGGCUGGGCCUCCGGGGUGAGCAGCAGUUUGAACCAGGUGUGUUCGUGCUAACAGGACGGCCCAGGUAAGGAGAGGGCUUGUGUGGGGGUGACAUAAAGGACAGGUAAAAGGAAGAGGACUCAAACACUGCUUUCUGUGGGAAAGGGGGCUUUAGGGUCUGAAAUCUUCCUUUGUGACACCCAUAUUAAAGUGGUUAUCAGAAUAAAAUGACCCAACCAACCAAGCUCAGGAAGCAGGAAGAGACUUGGACUCAAGACAACUGAGGAGAGAUGAGAAAAGAAAACAGGUCCCUGAAAGAGGGGGUCAUCAACUUCAAACAUCUGGAGGGUUUUCUGACAGGAGAGGGUUUGACAAGCUUUGAUGUGUGGCCCCAAAGGGUAAACUAGGCCACCAGGGAGACGGUGGUUUUCUUCAGGAUUUGGAAGAGUGACACUUAGAGCAAUGAUUGGUGAAUUACAAUUCAUGGGCCAAAUCUGGCCCGCUGACUACUUCUGUAAAUAAAGUUUUGUUGGACCACAGGCUGCCCAUUCAUUUAUGUAUUGUCUGUGGUGCUUUCCUGCUGCCUGAGCAGAGUUGAAUUUUUGCUACAGAGACUGCGUGGGCCACUAAGCCUAUAAUAUUUAGUAUCUGGCUCUUUGCAGAUACUAAACAGUUUG
rnacentral:lncRNA from 1 species